UACGGAGGGUGCAAGCGUUAUCCGGAUUUACUGGGUUUUAAGGGUGCGUAGGUGGGUAGGAAAGUCAGUGGUGAAAUCUUCGGGCUUAACCCGGAAACUGCCAUUGAUACUAUUUAUCUUGAAUACUUUGGAGGUAAGCGGAAUAUGUCAUGUAGCGGUGAAAUGCUUAGAUAUGACAUAGAACACCAAUUGCGAAGGCAGCUUACCACACAGUUAUUGACACUGAGGCACGAAAGCGUGGGGAUCAAACAGG
rnacentral:rRNA from 1 species